UCGGACGUGGUGUGCGGGACACCGCUGGGUAUUGUAAGUCUUCGAAAACAUCGUGCAAACUGGUAGUCCGGGGUUCGACUCCCCGCGUCCGAA